rnacentral:rRNA from 1 species
CUAAGCCAUGCCAGUCAUGGGGCGCGCUCUGCGCGCACCGGCGGACGGCUCAGUAACACGUCGGUAACCUACCCUCGGGAGGGGGAUAACCCCGGGAAACUGGGGCUAAUCCCCCAUAGGCCUGGGGCACUGGAAGGUCCCCAGGCCGAAAGGGGCUUUUGCCCGCCCGAGGAUGGGCCGGCGGCCGAUUAGGUAGUUGGUGGGGUAACGGCCCACCAAGCCGAAGAUCGGUACGGGCCAUGAGAGUGGGAGCCCGGAGAUGGACACUGAGACACGGGUCCAGGCCCUACGGGGCGCAGCAGGCGCGAAACCUCCGCAAUGCGGGCAACCGCGACGGGGGGACCCCCAGUGCCGUGGCACAGCCACGGCUUUUCCGGAGUGUAAAAAGCUCCGGGAAUAAGGGCUGGGCAAGGCCGGUGGCAGCCGCCGCGGUAAUACCGGCGGCCCAAGUGGUGGCCGCUAUUAUUGGGCCUAAAGCGUCCGUAGCCGGGCCCGUAAGUCCCUGGCGAAAUCCCACGGCUCAACCGUGGGGCUUGCUGGGGAUACUGCGGGCCUUGGGACCGGGAGAGGCCGGGGGUACCCCUGGGGUAGGGGUGAAAUCCUAUAAUCCCAGGGGGACCGCCAGUGGCGAAGGCGCCCGGCUGGAACGGGUCCGACGGUGAGGGACGAAGGCCAGGGGAGCGAACCGGAUUAGAUACCCGGGUAGUCCUGGCCGUAAAGGAUGCGGGCUAGGUGUCGGGCGAGCUUCGAGCUCGCCCGGUGCCGGGGGGAAGCCGUUAAGCCCGCCGCCUGGGGAGUACGGCCGCAAGGCUGAAACUUAAAGGAAUUGGCGGGGGAGCACUACAA